rnacentral:rRNA from 1 species
AACCCUUAUCUUAAUUGCCAGCAUUCAGUUGGGCACUUUAAGAGACUGCCGGUGUUAAACCGGAGGAAGGUGGGAUGACGUCAAGUCCUCAUGGCCUUUAUGCUUAGGGCUACACACGUGCUACAAUGGGUGGUACAAAGAGAAGCCAACUCGCGAGAGCGCGCCAAUCUCAAAAAGCCAUCCUCAGUUCGGAUUGGAGUCUGCAACUCGACUCCAUGAAGUUGGAAUCGCUAGUAAUCGCGGAUCAGCAUGCCGCGGUGAAUACGUUCCCGGGCCUU